AUUGAACGCUGGCGGCAGGCCUAACACAUGCAAGUCGAGCGGCAGCGGAAAGUAGCUUGCUACUUUGCCGGCGAGCGGCGGACGGGUGAGUAAUGUCUGGGAAACUGCCUGAUGGAGGGGGAUAACUACUGGAAACGGUAGCUAAUACCGCAUAACGUCGCAAGACCAAAGAGGGGGACCUUCGGGCCUCUUGCCAUCAGAUGUGCCCAGAUGGGAUUAGCUAGUAGGUGGGGUAACGGCUCACCUAGGCGACGAUCCCUAGCUGGUCUGAGAGGAUGACCAGCCACACUGGAACUGAGACACGGUCCAGACUCCUACGGGAGGCAGCAGUGGGGAAUAUUGCACAAUGGGCGCAAGCCUGAUGCAGCCAUGCCGCGUGUAUGAAGAAGGCCUUCGGGUUGUAAAGUACUUUCAGCGGGGAGGAAGGUGUUGAGGUUAAUAACCUCAGCAAUUGACGUUACCCGCAGAAGAAGCACCGGCUAACUCCGUGCCAGCCGCCGCCGUAAGAC
rnacentral:rRNA from 1 species